rnacentral:rRNA from 1 species
UACGUAGGGUGCAAGCGUUGUCCGGAAUUAUUGGGCGUAAAGAGCUCGUAGGCGGUUUGUUGCGUCGGCUGUGAAAUCCCGAGGCUCAACCUCGGGUCUGCAGUCGAUACGAGCAGGCUAGAGUGUGGUAGGGGAGAUCGGAAUCCUGGUGUAGCGGUGAAAUGCGCAGAUAUCAGGAGGAACACCGGUGGCGAAGGCGGAUCUCUGGGCCAUUACUGACGCUGAGGAGCGAAAGCGUGGGUAGCGAACAGG